GACGAACGCUGGCGGCGUGCUUAACACAUGCAAGUCGAACGGUGAAGCUCCAGCUUGCUGACGUGGAUCAGUGGCGAACGGGUGAGUAACACGUGAGCAACCUGCCCCUGACUCUGGAAUAAGCGCUGGAAACGGCGUCUAAUACUGGAUACGAGAAGGGUCCGCAUGGGCACUUUCUGGAAAGUUUUUCGGUUGGGGAUGGGCUCGCGGCCUAUCAGCUUGUUGGUGAGGUAAUGGCUCACCAAGGCGACGACGGGUAGCCGGCCUGAGAGGGCGACCGGCCACACUGGGACUGAGACACGGCCCAGACUCCUACGGGAGGCAGCAGUGGGGAAUAUUGCACAAUGGGCGAAAGCCUGAUGCAGCGACGCCGCGUGAGGGAUGACGGCCUUCGGGUUGUAAACCUCUUUCAGCAGGGAAGAAGCGAAAGUGACGGUACCUGCAGAAGAAGCACCGGCUAACUACGUG
rnacentral:rRNA from 1 species